rnacentral:rRNA from 1 species
AACGAACGCUGGCGGCAUGCCUAACACAUGCAAGUCGAACGAGACCUUCGGGUCUAGUGGCGCACGGGUGCGUAACGCGUGGGAACCUGCCUUUAGGUUCGGAAUAACUCAGAGAAAUUUGAGCUAAUACCGGAUGAUGUCUUCGGACCAAAGAUUUAUCGCCUUUAGAUGGGCCCGCGUUGGAUUAGCUAGUUGGUGGGGUAAAGGCCUACCAAGGCGACGAUCCAUAGCUGGCCUGAGAGGAUGAUCAGCCACACUGGGACUGAGACACGGCCCAGACUCCUACGGGAGGCAGCAGUGGGGAAUAUUGGACAAUGGGCGAAAGCCUGAUCCAGCAAUGCCGCGUGAGUGAUGAAGGCCUUAGGGUUGUAAAGCUCUUUUACCCGAGAUGAUAAUGACAGUAGCGGGAGAAUAAGCUCCGGCUAACUCCGUG